UUUUUUUUUUUUUUUUUUAGAAACUGAUGUUUAUUUUCUAUCAACCAUUUUUCCAUGUUGCUUAAGAGCCCGUGCAAGAACAGCUUAAGACCAUUCAGUGGUUGCUCCUACCCAUUCAGUGGCCUGAGCAGUGGGAGCUGCAGACCAGUCUUCCGUGGCAGGCUGAGCACUCCAGUCUUCAGUAGGGAACUGCUGAAUAGGCACAGAGGGCACCUGCACACCUUCAGACCAGUCUGCAACCUCAGGCUGAGUAGCAGUGAACUCAGGAGUUGGAGCAGUCCAUUCACCCUGAAAUUCCUCCUUGGUCACUGCCUUUUCAGCAGCAGCCUGCUCUUCUUUUUCAAUCUCUUCAGGAUCUCUGUAGAAGUAGAGAUCAGGCAUGACCUCCCACGGGUGUUCACGGGAAAUGGUGCCACGCAUGCGCAGAACUUCCCGAGCCAGCAUCCACCACAUCAAACCCACUGAGUGAGCUCCCUUGUUGUUGCAUGGGAUGGCAAUGUCCACAUAGCGCAGAGGAGAAUCUGUGUUACACAGAGCAAUGGUAGGUAGGUUAACAUAAGAUGCCUCCGUGAGAGGCUGGUGGUCAGCCCUGGGGUCAGUAACCACAAGAAGCCGUGGCUCCCGGAAGGCUGCCUGGAUCUGGUUAGUGAAGGUUCCAGGAGUGAAGCGGCCAGCAAUUGGAGUGGCUCCAGUGGCAGCAGCAAACUUCAGCACGGCCCUCUGGCCAGUAUUCCUGGAGGAUAUAACACUGACAUCAGCAGGGUUUUCAAUGGCAACAAUGGCACGAGCCGCCAGCAGAAGCUUCUCCCAGGUCCUCUUCAGAUUUAUGAUGUAGAUGCCAUCACUUUUCCUUUUAUAGAUGUACUGUUCCAUCUGGAAGUCAAGAUUGGUGCCACCUAAGUGGGUUCCUGCUGCAAGGAACUUAAGGACAUCCUCCUCCUUCAUUUGCAGGACAUCAAGGGCUUCGGACAUUGUGAAAGUUUCCCUUUAAGUUACGACGGGAAUCCAGAACAACGCCGUAUGGACCCCUCUGUAGGUAGCGCGGAAAGGCG
rnacentral:lncRNA from 1 species